CCUACGGGAGGCAGCAGUAAGGAAUAUUGGACAAUGGGCGCAAGCCUGAUCCAGCCAUGCCGCGUGAGUGAAGAAGGCCUUCGGGUUGUAAGGCUCUUUCGGCGGGGAAGAAAUCGCAUCUCCUAAUACGGGGUGUGGAUGACGGUACCCGAAUAAGAAGCACCGGCUAACUACGUGCCAGCAGCCGCGGUAAU
rnacentral:rRNA from 1 species